CACGUAGGAGGCGAGCGUUAUGCGGAUUUACUGGGCGUAAAGCGUGCGCAGGCGGUUUUGUAAGACAGGUGUGAAAUUCCCGGGCUUAAACUGGGAACUGCACUUGUGACUGCAAGGCUGGAGUACGGCAGAGGGGGAUGGAAUUCCGCGUGUAGCAGUGAAAUGCGUAGAUAUGCGGAGGAAAACCGAUGGCGAAGGCAGUCCCCUGGGCCUGUACUGACGCUCAUUCACGAAAGCGUGGGGAGCAAACAGG
rnacentral:rRNA from 1 species